UUUAUAAAAAAAUAUAUUAUUCAAUUUAAAUUUAAAUACAUAAAUAAUUACAUUAGCAUCACAGAUGAAAAACACAUUAAUUCAAAAUAUAUUUUACACAGUACAAUACAACAAGGAAUCAAAUUUUGUACCUAAAAAAAUAUCACAUUUUAUAGAAUUGAAUGCAAACUCUAGAGUCCCCACUCGAGUUUAUAGGUUUCUGAAAAUAUAGCUCAAUAGGAUUCCUUCCAUUAAUAAAUUUCUGGCGAUGCCCACUUUCUGUAACCGUUCCUUAGCAUUAUUAUUCUCCAUUAUAUUCUUGUAAUGUUUAAACAUCUUGAGUAUCUUUCUGUACUAGUACACACCCACACCACCUCAAUAAACACACAAUUUAUUGUUCUAUGUCCUGCAUAGUGCAAACUUAUUGAUUGAUACAACUCACGGACAAGGACAUUAAUAUUUAUAGUUCUUGGUGAAUAUAUUUAUUGAUUUGAUACUACAUACAACUCAUGGAUAUGGAUAGUAUUAAUAUUCAAUAAAGAUCAAUAACUAAAUCACUAGUUCUUAUA
rnacentral:lncRNA from 1 species